rnacentral:rRNA from 1 species
UGGGGAAUCUUGCACAAUGGGCGAAAGCCUGAUGCAGCAACGCCGCGUGCGGGAAGACAGCCCUAGGGUUGUAAACCGCUUUCAGCAGGGAAGAAACUGACGGUACCUGCAGAAGAAGAUGCGGCCAACUACGUGCCAGCAGCCGCGGUGACACGUAGGCAUCAAGCGUUAUCCGGAUUUAUUGGGCGUAAAGAGCUCGUAGGCGGUUCGGUAAGUCGGGUGUGAAACUCUGGGCUCAACCCAGAGAGGCCACUCGAUACUGCUGUGACUAGAGUGCGGUAGGGGAGCGGGGAAUUCCUGGUGUAGCGGUGAAGUGCGCAGAUAUCAGGAGGAACACCAGUGGCGAAGGCGCCGCUCU